CCUACGGGAGGCAGCAGUGGGGAAUCUUGGACAAUGGGCGCAAGCCUGAUCCAGCCAUGCCGCGUGAGUGAAGAAGGUCUUAGGAUCGUAAAGCUCUUUCGCCAGAGAUGAUAAUGACAGUAUCUGGUAAAGAAACCCCGGCUAACUCCGUGCCAGCAGCCGCGGUAAU
rnacentral:rRNA from 1 species